GUCCUCCUGUUGUAUUUAAACAGUAUAGGUGAACAGGUGAGGAGGGGAACAGGUGAGGAGGUGAACAGGUGACUGGUGAGGAGGUGAACAGGAGAGGAGGUGAACAGGUGACAGGAGAGGAGGUGAACAGGUGAGGAGGGGAACAGGUGAGGAGGUGACAGGUGAGGAGGUGAACAGGAGAGGAGGUGAACAGGUGACAGGAGAGGAGGUGAACAGGUGAGGAGGUGAACAGGAGAGGAGGUGAACAGGUGACAGGAGAGGAGGUGAACAGGUGACAGGAGAGGAGGUGAACAGGUGACAGGAGAGGAGGUGAACAGGUGACAGGUGAGGAGGUGAACAGGUGAGGAGGUGAACAGGUGACAGGAGAGGAGGUGAACAGGUGACAGGUGAGGCGGUGAACAGGUGACAGGAGAGGCGGUGAACAGGUGAGAGGUGAGCAGGUGACAGGUGAGGAGGUGAACAGGUGACAGGUGAGGAGGUGAACAGGUGACAGGAGAGGAGGUGAACAGGUGAGGAGGUGACAGGUGAACAGGUGACAGGAGAGGAGGUGAACAGGAGAGGAGGUGAACAGGUGACUGGUGAGGAGGUGAACAGGAGAGGAGGUGAACAGGUGACAGGAGAGGAGGUGAACAGGUGAGGAGGGGAACAGGUGAGGAGGUGACAGGUGAGGAGGUGAACAGGAGAGGAGGUGAACAGGUGACAGGAGAGGAGGUGAACAGGUGAGGAGGUGAACAGGAGAGGAGGUGAACAGGUGACAGGAGAGGAGGUGAACAGGUGACAGGAGAGGAGGUGAACAGGGGACAGGAGAGGAGGUGAACAGGUGACAGGUGAGGAGGUGAACAGGUGAGGAGGUGAACAGGUGACAGGAGAGGAGGUGAACAGGUGAACAGGUGACAGGUGAGGCGGUGAACAGGUGACAGGAGAGGCGGUGAACAGGUGAGAGGUGAGCAGGUGACAGGUGAGGAGGUGAACAGGUGACAGGUGAGGAGGUGAACAGGUGACAGGAGAGGAGGUGAACAGGUGAGGAGGUGACAGGUGAACAGGUGACAGGAGAGGAGGUGAACAGGAGAGGAGGUGAACAGGUGACAGGUGAACAGGUGACAGGAGAGGAGGUGAACAGGUGACAGGUGAACAGGUGACAGGAGAGGAGGUGAACAGGUGAGGCGGUGAACAGGUGACAGGUGAGGAGGUGAACAGGUGACAGGAGAGGAGGUGAACAGGUGACAGGUGAGGAGGUGAACAGGUGAGGAGGUCAACAGGUGACAGGUGAGGAGUUGAACAGGUGACAGGAGAGGAGGUGAACAGGUGAGGAGGUGACAGGAGAGGAGGUGAACAGAUGAGGAGGUGAACAGGUAACAGGAGUUGGUCCCUUUUGUCCUGUUUGCUCCAUAUUCAGUUUUUAUUGAGCAGAUACUGAAUGUGCUCGAUG